rnacentral:rRNA from 3 species
AACGUAGGUACCGAGCGUUAUCCGGAUUUACUGGGCGUAAAGCGCGUUCAGGCGGUUUGGCAAGUCGGGCAUGAAAUCUCUCGGCUCAACCGGGAGAGGUUGUCCGAUACUUCCAGACUUGAGGGCAGUAGAGGGUGGUGGAAUUCCGGGUGUAGUGGUGAAAUGCGUAGAUAUCCGGAGGAACACCAGUGGCGAAAGCGGCCACCUGGACUGCACCUGACGCUGACACGCGAAAGCUAGGGGAGCGAACGGG